rnacentral:rRNA from 1 species
GGUUAAGCGACUAAGCGUACACGGUGGAUGCCCUGGCAGUCAGAGGCGAUGAAGGACGUGCUAAUCUGCGAUAAGCGUCGGUAAGGUGAUAUGAACCGUUAUAACCGGCGAUUUCCGAAUGGGGAAACCCAGUGUGUUUCGACACACUAUCAUUAACUGAAUCCAUAGGUUAAUGAGGCGAACCGGGGGAACUGAAACAUCUAAGUACCCCGAGGAAAAGAAAUCAACCGAGAUUCCCCCAGUAGCGGCGAGCGAACGGGGAGCAGCCCAGAGCCUGAAUCAGUGUGUGUGUUAGUGGAAGCGUCUGGAAAGGCGCGCGAUACAGGGUGACAGCCCCGUACACAAAAAUGCACAUGCUGUGAGCUCGAUGAGUAGGGCGGGACACGUGGUAUCCUGUCUGAAUAUGGGGGGACCAUCCUCCAAGGCUAAAUACUCCUGACUGACCGAUAGUGAACCAGUACCGUGAGGGAAAGGCGAAAAGAACCCCGGCGAGGGGAGUGAAAAAGAACCUGAAACCGUGUACGUACAAGCAGUGGGAGCACGCUUAGGCGUGUGACUGCGUACCUUUUGUAUAAUGGGUCAGCGACUUAUAUUCUGUAGCAAGGUUAACCGAAUAGGGGAGCCGAAGGGAAACCGAGUCUUAACUGGGCGUUAAGUUGCAGGGUAUAGACCCGAAACCCGGUGAUCUAGCCAUGGGCAGGUUGAAGGUUGGGUAACACUAACUGGAGGACCGAACCGACUAAUGUUGAAAAAUUAGCGGAUGACUUGUGGCUGGGGGUGAAAGGCCAAUCAAACCGGGAGAUAGCUGGUUCUCCCCGAAAGCUAUUUAGGUAGCGCCUCGUGAAUUCAUCUCCGGGGGUAGAGCACUGUUUCGGCAAGGGGGUCAUCCCGACUUACCAACCCGAUGCAAACUGCGAAUACCGGAGAAUGUUAUCACGGGAGACACACGGCGGGUGCUAACGUCCGUCGUGAAGAGGGAAACAACCCAGACCGCCAGCUAAGGUCCCAAAGUCAUGGUUAAGUGGGAAACGAUGUGGGAAGGCCCAGACAGCCAGGAUGUUGGCUUAGAAGCAGCCAUCAUUUAAAGAAAGCGUAAUAGCUCACUGGUCGAGUCGGCCUGCGCGGAAGAUGUAACGGGGCUAAACCAUGCACCGAAGCUGCGGCAGCGACGCUUAUGCGUUGUUGGGUAGGGGAGCGUUCUGUAAGCCUGCGAAGGUGUGCUGUGAGGCAUGCUGGAGGUAUCAGAAGUGCGAAUGCUGACAUAAGUAACGAUAAAGCGGGUGAAAAGCCCGCUCGCCGGAAGACCAAGGGUUCCUGUCCAACGUUAAUCGGGGCAGGGUGAGUCGACCCCUAAGGCGAGGCCGAAAGGCGUAGUCGAUGGGAAACAGGUUAAUAUUCCUGUACUUGGUGUUACUGCGAAGGGGGGACGGAGAAGGCUAUGUUGGCCGGGCGACGGUUGUCCCGGUUUAAGCGUGUAGGCUGGUUUUCCAGGCAAAUCCGGAAAAUCAAGGCUGAGGCGUGAUGACGAGGCACUACGGUGCUGAAGCAACAAAUGCCCUGCUUCCAGGAAAAGCCUCUAAGCAUCAGGUAACAUCAAAUCGUACCCCAAACCGACACAGGUGGUCAGGUAGAGAAUACCAAGGCGCUUGAGAGAACUCGGGUGAAGGAACUAGGCAAAAUGGUGCCGUAACUUCGGGAGAAGGCACGCUGAUAUGUAGGUGAAGCGACUUGCUCGUGGAGCUGAAAUCAGUCGAAGAUACCAGCUGGCUGCAACUGUUUAUUAAAAACACAGCACUGUGCAAACACGAAAGUGGACGUAUACGGUGUGACGCCUGCCCGGUGCCGGAAGGUUAAUUGAUGGGGUUAGCGCAAGCGAAGCUCUUGAUCGAAGCCCCGGUAAACGGCGGCCGUAACUAUAACGGUCCUAAGGUAGCGAAAUUCCUUGUCGGGUAAGUUCCGACCUGCACGAAUGGCGUAAUGAUGGCCAGGCUGUCUCCACCCGAGACUCAGUGAAAUUGAACUCGCUGUGAAGAUGCAGUGUACCCGCGGCAAGACGGAAAGACCCCGUGAACCUUUACUAUAGCUUGACACUGAACAUUGAGCCUUGAUGUGUAGGAUAGGUGGGAGGCUUUGAAGUGUGGACGCCAGUCUGCAUGGAGCCGACCUUGAAAUACCACCCUUUAAUGUUUGAUGUUCUAACGUUGACCCGUAAUCCGGGUUGCGGACAGUGUCUGGUGGGUAGUUUGACUGGGGCGGUCUCCUCCUAAAGAGUAACGGAGGAGCACGAAGGUUGGCUAAUCCUGGUCGGACAUCAGGAGGUUAGUGCAAUGGCAUAAGCCAGCUUGACUGCGAGCGUGACGGCGCGAGCAGGUGCGAAAGCAGGUCAUAGUGAUCCGGUGGUUCUGAAUGGAAGGGCCAUCGCUCAACGGAUAAAAGGUACUCCGGGGAUAACAGGCUGAUACCGCCCAAGAGUUCAUAUCGACGGCGGUGUUUGGCACCUCGAUGUCGGCUCAUCACAUCCUGGGGCUGAAGUAGGUCCCAAGGGUAUGGCUGUUCGCCAUUUAAAGUGGUACGCGAGCUGGGUUUAGAACGUCGUGAGACAGUUCGGUCCCUAUCUGCCGUGGGCGCUGGAGAAUUGAGGGGGGCUGCUCCUAGUACGAGAGGACCGGAGUGGACGCAUCACUGGUGUUCGGGUUGUCAUGCCAAUGGCACUGCCCGGUAGCUAAAUGCGGAAGAGAUAAGUGCUGAAAGCAUCUAAGCACGAAACUUGCCCCGAGAUGAGUUCUCCCUGACUCCUUGAGAGUCCUGAAGGAACGUUGAAGACGACGACGUUGAUAGGCCGGGUGUGUAAGCGCAGCGAUGCGUUGAGCUAACCGGUACUAAUGAACCGUGAGGCUUAACCUU